AGUGAACGCUGGCGGUAGGCCUAACACAUGCAAGUCGAACGGCAGCACAGGAGAGCUUGCUCUCUGGGUGGCGAGUGGCGGACGGGUGAGGAAUACAUCGGAAUCUACCUUUUCCUGGGGGAUAACGUAGGGAAACUUACGCUAAUACCGCAUACGACCUACGGGUGAAAGUGGGGGACCGCAAGGCCCAACGCGAUUAGAUGAGCCGAUGUCCGAUUAGCUAGUUGGCGGGGUAAUGGCCCACCAAGGCGACGAUCGGUGGCUGGUCUGAGAGGAUGAUCAGCCACACUGGAACUGAGACACGGUCCAGACUCCUACGGGAGGCAGCAGUGGGGAAUAUUGGACAAUGGGCGCAAGCCUGAUCCAGCCAUACCGCGUGGGUGAAGAAGGCCUUCGGGUUGUAAAGCCCUUUUGUUGGGAAAGAAAUCCUAUCGGUUAAUAACCGGUGGGGAUGACGGUACCCAAAGAAUAAGCACCGGCUAACUUCGUGCCAGCAGCCGCCGUAACAC
rnacentral:rRNA from 1 species